ACGCUCGACACCUACGGGUGGCAGCAGUGGGGAAUAUUGCACAAUGGGGGAAACCCUGAUGCAGCGACGCCGCGUGAAGGAAGAAGUAUCUCGGUAUGUAAACUUCUAUCAGCAGGGAAGAAAAUGACGGUACCUGACUAAGAAGCCCCGGCUAACUACGUGCCAGCAGCCACGGUAAUCUGAGCGGGCUGGCAAGGC
rnacentral:rRNA from 1 species